rnacentral:rRNA from 1 species
CCCUUAGAUGUCCGGGGCCGCACGCGCGCUACACUGAAGUAAUCAGCGUGCAUACGAAACCCGCUCUUAGCAGAGUGGGCAACCAAAUGGACCCAUUUCGUGAUGGGGAUUGAGCAUUGUAAUUAUUGCUCAUGAACGAGGAAUUCCCAGUAAGCGCGAGUCAUCAGCUCGCGUUGAUUACGUCCCUGCCCUUUGUACACACCGCCCGUCGCUACUACCGAUUGAAUGAUUUAGUGAGGACUUCGGACCGGCUGGUGAAGCUGUCUUCGGACGGCAUUGCUGGUUGGGAAGAUGUCCAAACUUGCUCAUUUAGAGGAAGUAAAAGUCGUAACA